rnacentral:rRNA from 1 species
GUGGGGAAUAUUGGACAAUGGGCGAAAGCCUGAUCCAGCCAUGCCGCGUGUGUGAAGAAGGUCUUCGGAUUGUAAAGCACUUUAAGUGGGGAGGAAGGGCAGUAAGUUAAUACCUUGCUGUUUUGACGUUACCGACAGAAUAAGCACCGGCUAACUUCGUGCCAGCAGCCGCGGUAAUACGAAGGGUGCAAGCGUUACUCGGCUUUACUGGGCGUAACGCGCGCGUAGGUGGUUUUGUAAGUUGGAGGUGAAAUCCGCGGGCUCAAGCUGGGAACAGCAUCCAAAACUGGAUGACUAGAGUACGGUAGAGGGUAGUGGAAUUUCCUGUGUAGCGGUGAAAUGCGUAGAUAUAGGAAGGAACACCAGUGGCGAAGGCGACUACCUGGACUGAUACUGACACUGAGGUGCGAAAGCGUGGGGAGCAAACAGGAUUAGAUACCCCAGUAGUCC